rnacentral:rRNA from 1 species
ACGGUACCUGGGGAAUAAGUCACGGCUAACUACGUGCCAGCAGCCGCGGUAAUACGUAGGUGGCAAGCGUUAUCCGGAAUUACUGGGCGUAAAGCGCACGCAGGUGGCUGCUUAAGUCUGACGUGAAAGCUCCUGGCUUAACUGGGAGAGGUCGUUGGAGACUGGGCGGCUUGAGGCGAGGAGAGGGGUGUAGAAUUCCCGGUGUAGUGGUGGAAUGCGUAGAGAUCGGGAGGAAUACCAGUGGCGAAAGCGGCACCCUGGCCUUGGCCUGACGCUCAGGUGCGAAAGCGUGGGGAGCGAACGGGAUUAGAUACCCCGGUAGUCCACGCGGUAAACGAUGAAUACUAGGUGUAGGUGGUCUCAAAACUAUCUGUACCGCAGCUAACGCGAUAAGUAUUCCGCCUGGGGAGUACGACCGCAAGGUUAAAACUCAAAGGAAUUGACGGGGGCCCGCACAAGCAGCGGAGCGUGUGGUUUAAUUCGAUGCAACGCGAAGAACCUUACCUAGGCUUGACGUAGUGGUAGUAGUGAAGUGAAAGCGGAACGACCCUUCGGGG